rnacentral:lncRNA from 1 species
UAUGAGUAUCCACCAGAAUCAACCUCGAAUCGAUCUUCUCAUAGUAGAUCUUUCUUAUUUAACUAGGAUCUCAGCUUUUACAACCUCGAUCAACUCUUUGAUCUAGAUUGUGGAAUCAACUCCUUGAUCUGCAGUCUUUUCUCUUUGUUCCUCACUCUGGAUGAAGACUCCUCAACUCUUGGUGUGUAGAAUGGUGGGACGCCCAACCUUUGGGCAUG